CAGAGUUCAGGGGAAUUAAAACAGGGGCAGAAGAGACUUCGCAAAUUACUGGAUACUGAAAAUGCAAUCUACUAUCUCUCCUUCACAUUGUGGGUUAUUCGGGGUCCUUUGCGUGGCUGUGGCAAAUGACUGAAUCCUUGCUUCCAAGUCUGCCAGUGGGAGAAAUAAAAAGCCAGGGAGAAAAGAGAAAAUGUCUUUUGCUAGACUAGGUCACUUGUUACCUGCGAACAACACCGUGACCAUGUCCUGAUAAGUGGUGAGGCUAAAAGUUAGGGAUUUUCAUCUUCUCGUCAGAUAUUAAUUUGCAUAAAUUCUGCCAUCCCCUUUAUUAAAAAGAAUGGAGAGUGGAUAGUAUCUGGCUGCGUGAGGGCCCUCUGACUGGGUGAGCAGCCCCCCAUGACGCUUCCAAAUGCCGGUUCCUCUGCCAAAUAUGCCCCAAUAGUUUCACUCCUCCUGACCAAAGUGGAUAAUGCAGGUGUAAGGACAGAGGGAGAAGCGGUGCUCUUAAAAAUAGAUCUGACUUAGUAGUCUUUAAAUAACUGAGGAUUGUGAUAUGAGAGAGGGCUACUUACUUUGAAUCUGUAUCUCUACGGAGAGCAGAAUCUGACAAAAUGGCCUCAACUGACUUGCGUAAAGCGAUUUGGCCUCGCUGAGUAAGAACUUCUACAAGAGAGGGGAACCGAGGCUUGGCAAGGUGAAGUACUGAUCUCACGUCACAUAGCUGGCCUGGCUAAAUGACCUUAUUUGGCGAAUGGGACAAUCGCAAAAUUGACACAGCAGAGGCUCUUGAUGGUGGGAUCUCUUUACCACCAUGUGAACAAGCCUGUCCCCUUCUCAUUGAGGAUGAGAAGCACCACAUGGAAAGAGGCUCCAGCCACACCCUUGGUCCAGCAUUCCACUUGAGGCCCCAGACGUAGGAGUGUGGCUGGCCCAGACAUCUAGCCUCAACCAAACUAGCCCAGCCCAGAAGAACCACCCAACCAACCCACAGAAUCAUGAACUAGAUUAAAUGUUUGUUAUUUUAAAUCACUAAGUUUUGGAGUAAUUUGCGAUGAAAAGCUCAUUAAUACAUUAUCCGUACAUCUUACAUCUUAUAUACUCCUAUCAACCAACCAACAAAGCAUUUGUUAGGCAUUAGGGGUACAAUAAUGAGUAAAAACUUAACAGUUAUAAUCUACUUGGGGAGAUGUCUUACCUGUGAAAAAGUAAGUAACACUGCAGUUCAAAGUGAUAAAUGCUAAGUGAGUUCUAAUAGUGCUGUGGCAUAAGGAGGAAGAAGCGAUCUCUAAGGCAGAGAAAAUUUCUAUAGGAGCCUGAACUUCAACUUGAUCAUAAAGAGCACCGAUUUAAUCUUAGGUGACUGGAGAGAAACAGGGGUGGGAUCUCCAAGUCAGAAGAAGAUUGCAAACAACAUGUUCAGGAAACUGGUGAGCAGUCUGGUUUGGCCAGAGCAUAAAGAAAAUCAGUAAGAGAUAAAGUUGGAAUGGGGGAGGCCAGGCUACCAAGAGCUGGAAACCUGGGGUUAGAGUCAAUAGAUUUAGCAAAUAAAAAUACAGGGAGCUUAGCAAUAUUUGGGACAUACUUAUGCUAAAAAAAAAGUAUUUGUUGUUUAUUUGAAGUUCCAAUUUAACUGGAAGUUCUGGUUUUUAUCUGGCAACUCUAGCUAGGGUGGCAAACUCAAAAGCCUACAGAAGUCCAGGAGAUAAAAUACAUGAGUAAUAUGGGCAGGUGUAAGGCAAUAGAGGUGACUGAGGACUGUGGCAAAACGAGAGAACACUUAUUUCACUCAGGGAAUCAGCUCGACUUUGCUCCUGACAAUUGUUGCCAUGUGAAAAUGCAGGCCCAAUAUUUCCAACUCUUCCAAUAUUUCAAGAGAGGUUGAAAUUUUGGAUAGUUAUACGAAAUACCCUAUUGUUUCGUAUAGUUAUACGAAAUAAGUGAAUAUUUCAAUAUUUUAAAAAACCUGUGUGGGUCAAGCAAAACAUGUCUGCCAGCUGUAUCUAGUCUAAGGACCUCUGGUUUUCAACCUCUGUUUUAAGUCCUAAAUACCUAGGUUUUUUUUUUUUUUCUCACUAUAGUAAUAUAUGCCUGUAAAAAAUUCAAACAUCAAAACAUUAAGGUGAAUGUGAAGGUUUUCCUCCCCAUUCUUUCCUCAAAUCCUAUUCCCUUCCCCAGA